AGAAGUAAAAGUCGUAACAAGGUUUCCGUAGGUGAACCUGCGGAAGGAUCAUUACUGAGUGAGGGCCCUCUGGGUCCAACCUCCCACCCGUGUUUAUUGUACCUUGCUGCUUCGGUGCGCCCGCCACACGGCCGCCGGGGGGCUUCUGCCCCCGGGUCCGCGCGCACCGGGGACACCAUUGAACUCUGUCUGAAGAUUGCAGUCUGAGCAUAAACUAAAUAAGUUAAAACUUUCAACAACGGAUCUCUUGGUUCCG
rnacentral:misc_RNA from 1 species